CCUACGGGUGGCAGCAGUGAGGAAUAUUGGUCAAUGGACGAGAGUCUGAACCAGCCAAGCAGCGUGAAGGAUGACUGCCUUAUGGGUUGUAAACUUCUUUUAUAUGGGAAUAAAAUGUUCAACGUGUGGGAUUUUGUAUGUACCUUAUGAAUAAGGAUCGGCUAACUUCGUGCCAGCAACCGCGGUAAUACGGAGGAUCCGAGCGUUAUCCGGAUUUGUUGGGUUUAAAGGGAGCGUAGGGGGGUCGUUAAGUCAGUUGUGAAAGUUUGCGGCUCAACCGGAGAAUUGCAGUUGAAACUGGCAGUCUUGAGUACAGUAGAGGUGGGCGGAAUUCGAGGUGUAGCGGUGAAAUGCUUAGAUAUCUCGAAGAACUCCGAUUGCGAAGGCAGCUCACUGGACUGCAACUGACGCUGAGGCUCGAAAGUGUGGGUAUCAAACAGGAUUAGAUACCCGUGUAGUC
rnacentral:rRNA from 1 species